UUCUCUUUCUUCAGAUGAUGAUCCCAAGCCUUCUGGCGAUCUAGACAAAACAAGUCCACCGUGGGCUUUGAAAAACGCUUUCCUUGAUAAAAUUUAAGCGUUUUAUAAGAGGAUGCCGGGGAAGGUUUUCCGGUUUAUCCCGGAGGGCUUGUAGCUCAGUUGGUUAA
rnacentral:misc_RNA from 1 species